CCGAAUCACGAGGAUUAAAUUCCAUUUUCAUGACUGUGCGCCCGAGCUAUUUAUCAACAGAGGAAAAACGAGGGAAUCGCGGGAGCAGAUGGUGGCGCCACUAUUAAUAAAAAUAAUACAUAACCUACGUGUCGCGAAACAACCUCGUGAUCGUCGUGAACGCGAAAAACAGUGGGGUAUUAACACCAGUUUAUGUAAACGGGAAAGAGACAAGAGAGUUUCGAAAAUAGUCGUUCGCGACCCACCACCGCGUACGCAUUUAGACGGCCGCGCUAAACUUAGAUUGUUUUCUGAACAAACGGGUUAAGAGGGGGCCCGGAGAAGUGUGUAUGACACGAUGGAAAAUGCUUGGAAAGAAACACGUUUAUAUGGAGCGGCUCGAUUAACCGUGUAUGUGAAUUAAAAUCCGAGCGCAAAUGUUUACAUUGGCCAAUCAGAUUUCUGCCGGCUGUUUCGAAUUGUCUUUUUUUUUUUUUUUUGAAGAAUUACUUUUCUCUCUUUAUAGAGAGUUUAUUUAUCGAUAAUUGGUAAGAGGAAUUUUUAAUAGAUUACAUUAAACUACGUUAAAAUAGGAAUUUUCGAUCGAGAAAAUUUGCGGGAAAAAAAUUUAUAGGUUAUGGCACUCUUUCAAUCAUUUUAAAUUAACACAGGGGAAUGCUUUUAACCUAUAAUCCGAAUUUCUCUAUCUCCAAAUUCUCCAAAUAUUAUAUGUAAUAUAUAUCUAAAUUAGUAUGUAACAAUAUUUUAUAAAAAUAGCUGCGCUCGAUCGACAAUCGUUAUCGCUCUCGAUAAAUUUCAAUAGACAUCAAUUGCAAUUUUUGAAAUAACGAGUUAUCGACUUAAAAAUUUACAAACAUUACUUGUAAUAGAAACAAACAUUCACACUUUCUAUGCUAACUUUCGAAUAUAAAUUUCGACGGAACGCGACAGUUUGUGAAACUGGUUGUUUCGGCCGCUAAAAUUCUUAGUGGCGGUGUUUCGCGCGUAAAAAAAAAGAGAGAGAACAGAGCAUGUUCUCGCGGGUAAUUUAGUUGAUGGUGACUGCGCCCUCGAUGAAAGAGAGCGAGAAAGAGAGAAGCACCCUUAGGAACGAUUCGUGGCCUCCUCCGAGUCUCCGAGGUCGGUCCUGCCUGAGGAGGAACACGGACGGAACACUGUGUCUAGGAUGGAGAGCUCGUAAGAGGGCAUGAGCAUUGAAAGCGAACAAAUGGAAGGUGUUUCUUGGAAGCUUGGAUACUUAACGGAGAAAACCGUAGUGUUACACUGCUUGGUGACAUUUUAGCUGGUAUAAAACGAGAUCGUAAUGUUUCAAGAGAAUUAGAAAAGGAAAGGAAAAGGAAUGUUGUGGAAAAAACCUGUCUUACUAGUAUCUUUUAUGUUUUAUAUUGUUCUAUUAUGUUCUUGUAUUUUCAGAGUAAAUGAAAUCCAUGCGAGAUAUUAUGGACGGAUGAGAUGAGACGACUCGAUUUGACUCCGUUAUGGAUAAUCUUGAAAUCAGAAUUCGAGGAGGAUAACCUGGAAAUUAAAGAGUCUCGCUUGAGGAUUAAAAAAUUUCACUUAGAAGAGAUCUCCUUUCAAAAUUGAAGAUCAAUGGAUCUUAGAAUAGUUAAAAAAUUGAAAGGUCUCAAAAUUAGAGGAAUCAUGAGAUUAAUGGAUCCUAUAAAAAAUAAUUCUAAGAUUGAAGAAUUCUCUAAGAUAACCUGAAAAAAUAAAUCUAUUUGAA